rnacentral:lncRNA from 1 species
GAGAGAGUGAAGGAAGGAGUGAUAGAAAAGAGAAGUGGACUAGAUAGAUCUACUACAUCGAAGAACGAGCUAUUCAGUGGACGUUGGCGGCUUUGCUGUCACAGGAAAGGGAGGAGGGGAGGGGGGAACAAGGGAUCAUGCUGGUCACGGCGGGACGGUGGAGUGUGUGUGCAAGGGUGUAUCGUGGCGUCUGCUUCGUGCUGGAGGAGUGUGUUUGAGGAAGAGAAUUCCGGCGAUUCAGUGCCAUGCUAUGGACUAGGAGCCAGCUGGAGUCUUGCUGAAGACAUGGCCCAGGAGUGUUGGCGCAAUGAGACAACUACCAUGCUUCAAGGGGUGGCAACUGUCCGGCGCUACCUCCGGAUGUAGUGGUCGAGAUGUAGUAAGUAAGCAAGUUUACAUUUGAGUAAUAUCACAGAUUAUCCAUUAUAUUGACCAGAUACUCUAGUGGCCCA